GGGCCGUAGCUUGGUGGUAGAACACCUGCUUUGCACGCAGAAGGUCCUGGGUUCGAUCCCCAAUGGCAUCC